GACAGAGGCCUCAAGCGUUAGGCGGAAUCACUGGCUUAAAGCGUGUGUAGGCGGAUCGUUAAGUGUCUUGUGAAAUCCCACGGCUCACCCGUGGAACGGCUGGGCAUACUGGCGAUCUUGGGCCAACUAGGGGCAAACUGGAACAAGCGGUGGAGCGGUGAAAAUGCGUAGAUAUCGCUUGGAACGCCGAAGGUGAAAACAGGUUGCUGGGGGUUGUGCCGACGCUGAGACACGAACGAGCCAGGGGAGCGAACGGG
rnacentral:rRNA from 1 species